GUUACGUUUUCCAUCUUACUGCAUAUGAGCAAAACAACCAGAAUGAGGACGGCGCAACUUUUACUCUUCUGUCUGCUGGUGUGUCAAAAUACAGAGAGUUUAACUGAUAAACUGGUGAAUUUAGGGGAAAAUGUGACUUUAGACUGUCAGAUUGAUGUAAGAGACAUUUAUUGGGUUUUCCAGAAACCGUCAGACUCUCCGCUGCUGAUACUGCGAACUUUCUCAUCAGAUUCUACAUCAUCUUAUGUACAAGACCAAAGACUGAAAGACAAAUAUUCAUCACUAACUUUGAGCCGUUUAUUUAUUAUUAAUAUAACUUUUCAUGAAUUAGGAAUAUAUUAUUGUGCAAAAGCAGCCACAACUCUACAGAUCAGCAAUGGCACCAGACUUUACAUCAACGGUAAGAAGCUGCUCGAGAUCACAAUCAGACAGAACUGAAAAAUAACUCGCAACGUCAGACUACACAGCAAUCUCUCAUAGUUUUGUGCUUCAUACCAAAUAUUGUGAUGUUUUUGGCAAUAAUAGGCCUGUUCCAGAUCAAACUCCAAGCGUGUAAAAAAGACACCAACAAUGUCAAGAUGAAGAACUGGAGCAGCUUUACAGCACACAUGAUGAAGAGUUUUCUGAAGUGGAGUUUCAUCUGUUUCACCCGACCAACAACACUUUUCUUCCUUUUCAAAAGCCGAAGACAAAACCUAGACAAACAUCCUAGAGAAACCUAGAGAAAGAUCAGCUCAUAUAGUCUAAUAGAAGUAUGUAUAUUGUGUUAAAUAAUGAGUGAAAUAUUGUUAGCUGAUGUUUGUUACCUAAACAUGCAUGUAAUACAAAAUUUGCAAUGUUUUCAGCAUGACUUUAUUUGCUUUUGUUUUGAUAAAUAAGUCUCGUAAAUAAAAUCCAUAAAUCUUGAUUCUGUAUGUUUAUUUUGAGUGGCUUCAUUCUCUGACUUUGGGCUUUUAUAAUAAUGUAAAUAAUAAUGUAAAAUUAAGAUUUUUGAAUGUUUUUGAAAGUCAUAAAACAGGAAAAAGA